CAUCAAUGGAACAAUCGAUAUAAUCGAUGGAAAUUUAUUUUUUCGAUACAUCAAUGGAAAUUUCUCGAUGGUCAAUAUAUCGACAAUUUAAUUUAAGUGGAGAGUUUGCACGUCGAACCAAAUCAAUCUAUUUCCUCCCAACUGGCAGUUCCUCAUUUAAUAUGGACAAAUUUGUCGCUACGUCGAAAAAAGAUGUUGUUGCCCCUACGACUUCAACAACUUCAAGUCCACCUAACGCCGCUGCUCCCAUCGAUCGCAAACGAAAAAAAUGCGUUUCGGAAGUUUAGUCCCAUUUUGACCGCUUAAUUAACAAAGUCUUUGCCAGAUGUCGACAUUGCGGCAAAGAAUACCGCACAAGUGGGAACACAUCUAAUUUGAUGGAGCACUUAAGACGAGUCCACCCAUUUGAGCAAAAUACUGAAAAGACCAAAAGUACAACCAACUUAAAAUCAUUUUUUCUUCGUAGCGAGUGCUAUAGUUCUACGUCGACCAGGAAGGCGCAAAUUGACAAGUCCCUUGCUCGCAUGGUGGUACUUGAUUUGCAGCC